ACUGGAGACUAGCAGGAUGGGAAGGUUGUUGGCUUGGCCUGGGUUCGGAGUUGGUCUCGCAUAGACAGAGUUAGCGAAAAAUUCAUAAUGACCACUGAAACAAUAUAGUGUGUUAGACAUAUAUUACGGUGCUCUAGCUAUGAGAUUUCUUUUUUAUUUCUGUCCCCUUAGGGAUACCAGACGAAUGCGUUGAUGAUGCGCUGAACGUGACAACAGUAGCAGAGGUGACGCAAGAAGGUGACGUCAUCACAUGGACAGGUACGACAGGUACCCAGAAGGCAGUGAGCAGCUUCCGGUUAGGAGAAGAGUUCGAAGAGGAGCAUCUUGGCGGGAAAAAGAAGGUGCUGUACAGAUGGGAGGAGGACAGACUGGUGUCCAGCUAUCAGGACUGGGACGGCAAGGGGUUAAAGGUCACCAUAUCCAGACGACUUCAGGGGGACACGUUAUACUUGACUAUGACCGCAGGUGACGUCACAUGUAACAUACAGAGUGUACGUGAGGUGCUGACACCUGGUCCACUUCACCAUCAGUCGUGACGUCAAACAGGGUCAAGGGUCAUGUUCAAAGAUCACAUAUAGUGACUGUCUGGGCCUGGCCUUUCAACAGUCAACAGCUGAGCGUUCAUGUCAAACAAGGACGCAGAAGGAUGGAAACGCUCGAAACUGGCGGGAAAAUCGAAUGCAGGGUGUUAGAUAGAAGACAAACUUUGAGCUAACGUAGGCAUUUCUUUUUUGAGCUGUGCUACUUGAUAUGAGAUCAUAAAUUUGUCGUUUCUAUCAUUCCAACUUUAACUAAAAGUUUAAGCACGAUGUGACCAGCUACGUUGGCAUAUACAAUAUAUAUAUAUAUAUAUAUAUAUAUAUAUAUAUAUAUAUAUAUAUAUAUAUAUAUAUAUAUAUAUAUAUAUAUAUACUUACACCGAUCAUAAAGCUGUUAACUUCACAUGGUUAAGAUGUUCAUACAGACAAGACGGAAAUCGCAAAUGUUGGAUAAGUCUUUUUAUGAUAGACAUGCUGCGGACAUCGUUAUUACUGGGCUUACCUAAUUAAGUACAUAGGAAAUGAAAGAUCUAAUGAUAGUUCACCUUUAUCCAAGGGAAACCUGUAUCCAUUGUUCUUAAAAAACGGUAGUGUAUUUUGAGAUGUCGACGUAUGGUAGUUUCAGACUGCAUUAAUAUUUUGAAAAUACGGCAAUUUGAAACCACCGUCUGUCGAAUUGAUGCCCCUAAGCACCCUGUUUUGAAUAUAACGAAUAUAGGUUACCCCGCGAAUAAAGGUGAACUAGCGUUAUCUGAGUGCCAAAAGUGUUUAAUAUGAUGGAACAUUGCAAGACAGAAUCGUGUAUAGUAAUUCAGUGAAAUAUUUCAUCAUACCUACAGGCACAUACUGUAAAUGCAGAAAUGUUCGCGGUGGAUUAAUGUUCGCGGUUUUCGCGGCGGCCGCUUCACCGCGAAUUUAAAACCUACGCGAACAUUUUCCUUAGCAGUAAGAGACUGCAUGGUGCUACCGCGAAAUUAAAACCACCGCGAAAAGUCCAUUUUCACGCUACCGCGAAAUCAAAAACCCCGCGAACUUAAAUGCAUUUACAGUAACUGUUUUGUCGUGAUGCGAUAAGCUUGUAUUUAUCUGCACAUACAUGAUACAUUUUGGCACACAUGUAAAACAUUACAUAUAUCAAAUAUCAAAGUGUUAUAAAUGGAUUUUGAUGUUGUGAAUAUCGUGUAACGUUAUGCUGAACGAUUCAUGUAAAUAAAAUAAUAUUUCGACGUACAUGUUAUUCCAAAUACCUUAACAUGUAUAACUUAGAUCAAACUGUAGA